AAUGAACGCUGGCGGCGUGGUUAAGACAUGCAAGUCGAACGGAUUUUCAGGUGUAGCAAUACAUUUGAAAGUCAGUGGCGAACGGGUGCGUAACACGUGAACAAUCUACCAUUUAGUGUGGAAUAGCUCGCCGAAAGGCGAAUUAAUACCGCAUGUGGUUGUUUCCCGCAUGGGAGGCAUACUAAAGCCAGGGACCGCAAGGCCUGACGCUAAUUGAGGAGUUCGCGGCCUAUCAGCUAGUUGGCGAGGUAACGGCUCACCAAGGCUAAGACGGGUAGCUGAUCUGAGAGGAUGAUCGGCCACACUGGAACUGAGUCACGGUCCAGACACCUACGGGUGGCAGCAGUUUAGAAUCAUUCACAAUGGGCGAAAGCCUGAUGGUGCGACGCCGCGUGAGGGAUGAAGGUCUUCGGAUUGUAAACCUCUGUCACUGGGGAGAAGACGCUUUGAGUUAACAGUUCAAAGCCUGAUUUAACCCGGAGAGGGAGCAGUGGCUAACUCUGUGCCAGCCGCCGCAGUAAGAC
rnacentral:rRNA from 1 species